rnacentral:lncRNA from 1 species
UUAGCAUCCACAGGUCCCCUGCUGGCCUUGAUCUCACUGAAUUUGUUUCUGGGAACUCUGGGAGCUCGUUCCCCUACUACGAGAGAACUCUGAGAGGUAAACCACAGGAAGAGUUGCACAUGAAGAUUCCCUGAGGUCAAAGCUGAGAGCUGUGCCAAGUUGGAGACUCCGGGCAUAUGACAGCACUUUGGGAGAUGGAUUUUUACGGUGCCUGCCAAGUGGGAAUUGGAGAUAAGCAAAGCAAAUGCUGGGUUUCUCACAACUUUACUUGCAAAGAGAUUCCAAAGGUGGCUGUGGAGUUUGACCUGUCUCCAUUCAGCCAGGUACACAGGAAGUGAUUACGGACUUUUUUUUCACCUCCGUGAAGAGACCAUUCCUGUGGCUGCUGCUGCAGGGAAGCCUGGGAAAUACUGUGUGUCUUCCUUGAAAAUAAUGAAGCAGCUUAAGGACAACAUUCACCGUGCUUCUGGUGUGCUUUGGACCCCAGUUUUCAUUUGUGCUGUUCUUUUCUGGUGGUGUCGCUCUAAGUCCUGUGGAUCUCAUGUAUGGACUCGGCUUGCUUCCUGAGCGUGGAUCCCCUAUAUAUUUCAUUUCUUCUCAGGUUGAUAUACUUCUCUCAGGGCAUAUGUACG